UGUGUGUGUGGGUGUAGGUGCAUGUAGAGGCCUGAAAUUCGCAUCAGGUGUCAACCUUGAUGGCCCACUGUAUUUAUUGAGUCGGGAUCUCUUGCUGAACCCAGAUCUUCUCCCGAAUCCUAGCUAGUCUAGCCAGCCAGUUUGCCCAGGGGGUCCCUUGUCUCUGCUUCCCAAGGACUGGAUUAUAAGGCACUGUCACCCAGCUUCUGUUCCACACAAUGCAGGGCAAACACUUUAUCUACUGAGCCAUCCCACCCCCCACCCCACCCCCUGUCCCCAGCACAGCUACCCCGAGACUAGUACACAAACUGAAGCUUGAAAUGACCCCUUUCCAGGAGUGCAUUGCUCCAGGCCCCCAACUCGGGCAUGCCUUUUCUGAGGUGCUUGGCUUUAGGGGAUGGAGAGCCCAGAGGGCGGGGACUAGUGUAUUCUGAAGGGAGGUGAGGCCCUGAGAAGUGGCCUGCCCCCCAGUGUCCUCCCACAACCACCCGCAUUGAGCUGCCUCAGUCUGAACCUCUGUCAGACUUGAGUCUCUCCUGAGCUCACCUGGUCACCUGCUGACACCCUGUGUGGGGGAGGGGGUGUGUGUGCAGAGGACAGAGAAUGAAGUCACUAUUCACCUUAGUCCCUUGCAACAAGAUCUCUCUCUGAGCCUGGAGGUAGGCUGGCCAGCAGGCCCCAGCGUUCCUGUCUCCCCCGACCCCUGCCCUCCAGUGCUGGAGUCACAGGCCUAGGAAGCCAUGCCCAGCUCCUUGUGCGGCUGUUUGGGAUUUGCCCUCCGUAAGCACAAAGCCCUCCUCCCAGCCUCCACCCCCCAGGUGACACCUGGACAUGCGUCCAGCUCCGGGCUCGAGUCUGGAGCCUUCCAAGGCCUCUGACCCUUGCUGAACGUGUUCUGGGUUACUUCUGCAAACCUAGGAAGUUCCUUUUUCAGACCCAUACGAUUUAGUAAUAUCUGCUUUGUCACAGAGAAGCCGUGGGCCACUUGGUGUUUCCUGUCAGCCCCGUCCCCAGACAGAUCACAUUCCCACCUCUGCCCACAACGGCAGGGUCCGGCUCCCUGCAUCUCCUCCACAUACUGUGGAGGCCGAGGAGGCCCCGUGCUGUGGCAGCCUACCCGAGCCUCCUCCUGCGCUGUCUGUGACAGAAAGAUAAAGCUCCUCAGAGUGAGGACAAAGGAAACAGUGUGUGAAAACAGCACUGUGGCGUUGUCACUUGCUGUCUCUGCGUCAAAUUAGAUGUCCCCUCUCCCAAGGACAGAGCCACUGACCUAGGACUUCCCAGCCAUCCUGCUGCUGUGACCUCGAUGCCUGUCACCCUCAUGCCCACACAGCCUGUGUGAGGGAACACCGGAAGGAAGCAGUGGGGCUGAGGUGGCUGACACCCCCAUCCCCCAUCCCUCCUCAUCCCCCCAGCUGAGCAGCAGAGUGUGGCACCCCACAUGUAGAGCUGCAGGCCUGGGGGUUAUUCAGACCAGGUGCUUUCGGGGCACCGUGUUUCAGAUUGUGACGUCACCUGAAGCCUUGAAAGGCUCUGCUCAACCCGGGCCGUGGACCUUCUGCAGCUCUCGGCUGGUGUCCCCCUGGGAUCUGAGAUUACUGCCCCCAGAGAGCCAAGCUUCACGAGGACCUUUGAAACCAAGUGUCAGGCCCCAGCAGCUUUUCCUGUAUGCAUUCAUUCCUUAGCUUGUGUAUUAACUAGACACAUACAGUCCAAACAUCUGCCCUGUGACCCAGCGCUGUCCCAGACACGGGUGCAGCAUUGAACUCCUCCCAUGGCUUCCCCAUGCUGGCUCCUUUCCAGUUCUAGUGGGUGUCGCCUCCUCCAAGAAGCCCUCCCUGACCAUACCACCUAAAGUUGCCAGCUCCCCGCACGCUGUGCCCUGUUUGUUUUUCCUGUCUCUUAGGUGCGUGUGUCCGAGUGCCUGUGCCAGAGGACAACCCCAGUGUCCGUCCUCACCCUCCACCUGUUUGAGGCAGUGCUUGAGCUCUCGGGGUCUCCUGUCUCUGCCUUCUCUCACUCGAGUGCUGGGAUUCCAAGUGCAUGCUACUGUCCAGCUUUACGUGGGUUCUGAGGACCCAAACGCGGGUCAUCAUUGUUACGUAGUAAGUCCGUUACCCACGGAGACAUUUCUCCAGCCCUUCCUCCCGUUUCUUAUGUGCUCACUGACAGAAAAGCGCGGGAAGUACCGACUGCUGGAAGGAGGAGGAAGGUUUCCAGCCUUGCCACCUACAGAAAGACCACCGUGGGCAUUUGACGGCGCUGUGCCCUCCUUUGGCCCUGGAAAGGGAGGCUCCUGCCCUUUGUGUCUCCUGUUGCCAUAGCAUUAACAUGACAGCUCACUUAUUUUGUUUGGCAUCCUGUCUCGCCACAGCGGAGGGAGGACAGGUGUGUUUGCUUUGACUGUUUACCUAGGUACCAUACCAACUGAAGGCAGGAUCCCAGGCUGGCCUAGAACCAAGCAUGUAGCCCAGGACACCCUUGAACCUCUGCUCCUCCUGUCUCGGCUAUCAGGUGUGCUCCGCUCCGCUCCGAUCUGCUCCGCUCCACCCUGCUCAGUUUUCACAGAGCGUGGGGUAUUUGCGUGUGCUAGGCCAGCAGUCUUCCAACAGAGAGCGGUAGUCCAGACUGCAUUUCUUGGCUUUCUGUCUCCCUGAAGAGGCUGUGCAUCGUUCUCCUUACACCAAAGAUGCCGUCUUAGAGGCCGUUAUGAAAUGAUCCAGCCUGGGCAUCAUGUCCCUUCUUUCACAGUCCGUGACAUGUAAGUGGAAUUUCCCGAGAAGGAAGAGCCACACCUGUUAAAGAUCCCAAGGGGCAAAGGAUUGAACUCUGAUUGGAGAGUCAGAAUGUUGUAGACCAGAGCUAGUGAUCCUGGGCUACUUUUCGCCCUCUUUGAAGUUCACUCAUUGCAUAGUCCUGUGUGUGACCUGGCAUCCUGUGACUGUCAAAACCUUUUCGGUGUGUUCUUAGCAGGCCACCAGCUUCCACCAGUGCCGAAGCUAAGCAUGUCACCCGCGAGCAUGGAAAGUCUGCUGUAACCACCCACCUGCGGUUCCCACCAGUGUGUUUGAUUGAUUUCUUUGUUCUGUAACUAGUAAGAUCUCAUGUGACCACCUCCAUGGUGGAUCCCCCUCCAUGGUGGAUCCCCCUCCAUGGCGGAUCCCCCUCCAUGGCGGAUCCCCCUCCAUGGCGGAUCGCUGCUUUCAGAGCGGCCCGAGUCUGUGUUGAGGGCUGUGGACACUCAUUUGGCUCAGGAGUCCACUGUCUCUUUCCCUUUGGGAUGAGAGCUGGGUUUUGCAUCAACACAUAGUGGUGUGUCUUAUGUUCACCAGUGUCCUAAAUGUGAUGAAACCCCACAGGUAGGAAUAAUCUUCAGUGGCCCAUGACUGGAUGUCCUGCAGUGGCCACUUUAGUGGUUCAUUCCAAGGUGUCCUGCCCUCACUCCACCCCUUGGCUUUUAUUGUCAUGUGUGUGAGUACAGGCAUGUGUGUGUGUGUGUGUGUGUGUGUGUGUGUGUGUGUGUGUGACAGAAGAGGAGUGUGAAGGUUAGAGGACAACUUGCAGGAUUCAGUUUUCUCUCUCAACGGUGGAAUCCAGGGCAGCCCGCUGACCACUCACCGCUCUACUCCGUCAACGGUGGAAUCCAGGGCAGGCCACUGACCACUCACCGCUCUACUCCGUCAACGGUGGAAUCCAGGGCAGCCCACUGAGCCAUUUUAUGAGCUCUAAAAUGUCUCCAACUUCUUCAUCUCCAGCUAUGCUUUGUCCUGGGAUUCUUUUCCUCAGUGAAGACAUGGGUGCUAGUUGCACCUCACUGGAGGUCCCCAGGGUAAGUGCACUAAUGCAGGGAAUGUUCUGGAGCUGUGCCUCUGCCCCUCACAGUGACAACAGGAUCCUUAAGUGCUUGGCUUUUUUAAACUGUGGAUCUUGACCCCAUAUGUGUUCAUGUCCCCGAAUGUGGGAGCUGCAAAGAUAAUUUGGUAGUAGCAAAAGGUUUUUGAGCUUCUAAAUCAAACAGGCACUGAGUCCCAAUGUUUCUGUUUCAUCCUUAAAUUAUGUUUCCAAAGAAUUGUUUUAAAAUAAAUUUCUCUAUGAUUCAUUGGUGAA